UAAUCGAUCUAUCAUAUUUGUAUUUUGAAGAUAAAAUACAAAAUAAAUAAAACAUCAAAAUGAAAUUAACAUAAUCAUUCUAUUAAUUUGUAGAUUUUUAUAAUGGGUAAACAUUGUCACAUACAUGAAUAUUCAUAAGUUUUUCUUUAUUUUCUCACUCAGAGCCAAGAACUGUAUUUUCUGACAAGAGUAAUUUAACGGUGAAUCAAAUUUUCAAGAAAUAGCCAAGAACUGUAUUUUCUGACAAGAGUAAUUCCACGGUUAAUCAAAUUUUCAAGAAAUAGCCAAGAACUGUAUUUUCUGACAAGAGUAAUUUAACGGUGAAUCAAAUUUUCAAGAAAUAGCCAAGAACUGUAUUUUCUGACAAGAGUAAUUUAACGGUGAAUCAAAUUUUCAAGAAAUAGCCAAGAACUGUAUUUUCUGACAAGAGUAAUUUAACGGUGAAUCAAAUUUUCAAGAAAUAGCCAAGAACUGUAUUUUCUGACAAGAGUAAUUUAACGGUGAAUCAAAUUUUCAAGAAAUAGCCAAGAACUGUAUUUUCUGACAAGAGUAAUUUAACGGUGAAUCAAAUUUUCAAGAAAUAGCCAAGAACUGUAUUUUCUGACAAGAGUAAUUUAACGGUGAAUCAAAUUUUCAAGAAAUAGCCAAGAACUGUAUUUUCUGACAAGAGUAAUUUAACGGUGAAUCAAAUUUUCAAGAAAUAGCCAAGAACUGUAUUUUCUGACAAGAGUAAUUUAACGGUGAAUCAAAUUUUCAAGAAAUAGCCAAGAACUGUAUUUUCUGACAAGUGUAAUUUCACGGUGAAUCAAAUUAUCAAGAAAUAGCCAAGCACUGAAUUUUGUGACAAGUGUAAUUUCACGGUGAAUCGAAUUAUCAAGAAAUGUAAGUAUAUACAAAGAUAUAAAUGCGUGUUUUUAACGUUUGUUUUCAAGUAUGAUGUAAUUUACACGACUGAAUUUUUUAACCGGUCUUCCGAUUCAAAUAGACGCGUACCUGAUAUUUUUCAACACACAACUGUCAUAUUUCAUAGUUGAGUUUUUCUUAUAUUUUGAAAUAUUGACAUAUCAAUGAAUAUUUCAAUAAUCUAUUUUAUUCAUUCUGUACAUGUGUGAUGUUGAAUUGUUAUCAAUAUGCGUUAUAUUAUGCCCUUUAGUAAAUCCAAUUUACCGGUAUGCAAGUACAAACAACGAGAAUCCAUACAGAAGAGCGGGGCUUACAUGAUACUGCUCAUGUCUUAAGACGUUUAAUUACAGUUUGUUAUA